rnacentral:rRNA from 1 species
AAGCGCUUGCAGCCAGACUUGCCUGUAGUUGCUCAUCUAGGCUUUUGCCUAGUGCACUCUUCUGCGGGCAGGCCAGCAUCAGUUUGGGCGGUUGGAUAAAGGCCUCUGUCAUGUACCUCCUUUCGGGGAGGCCUUAUAGGGGAGGCGACAUGCAACCAGCCUGGACUGAGGUCCGCGCAUCUGCUAGGAUGCUGGCGUAAUGGCUGUAAGCGG